rnacentral:rRNA from 1 species
ACUGCUCAGUAACACGUGGACAACCUACCCUUGGGACGGGGAUAAACCCGGGAAACUGGGUAUAAUACCCGAUAGUCCUCGACUGCUGGAAUGCAUCGAGGUCGAAAGCUCCGGUGCCCAAGGAUGGGUCUGCGGCCUAUCAGGUAGUAGUGGGUGUAGCGUACCUACUAGCCUACGACGGGUACGGGUUGUGAGAGCAAGAGCCCGGAGAUGGAUUCUGAGACACGAAUCCAGGCCCUACGGGGUGCAGCAGGCGCGAAAACUUUACAAUGCUGGAAACAGCGAUAAGGGAACCUCGAGUGCCAGGUUACAAAUCUGGCUGUCGUGAUGCCUAAAAAGCAUUGCAUAGCAAGGGCCGGGCAAGACCGGUGCCAGCCGCCGCGGUAACACCGGCGGCUCGAGUGGUAACCGUUAUUAUUGGGUCUAAAGGGUCUGUAGCCGGCCGGAUAAGUCUCUUGGGAAAUCCAGCAGCUUAACUGUCAGGCUUUCAGGAGAUACUGUCUGGCUCGAGGCCGGGAGAGGUGAGAGGUACUUCAGGGGUAGGGGUGAAAUCUUGUAAUCCUUGAAGGACCACCAGUGGCGAAGGCGUCUCACCAGAACGGACCUGACGGCAAGGGACGAAAGCUAGGGGCACGAACCGGAUUAGAUACCCGGGUAGUCCUAGCCGUAAACGAUACUCGCUAGGUGUCGGCCACGGUGCGACCGUGGUCGGUGCCGUAGGGAAGCCGUGAAGCGAGCCACCUGGGAAGUACGGCCGCAAGGCUGAAACUUAAAGGAAUUGGCGGGGGAGCA